rnacentral:rRNA from 1 species
GACGAACGCUGGCGGCGUGCUUAACACAUGCAAGUCGAACGGAAAGGCCCUGCUUGCAGGGUACUCGAGUGGCGAACGGGUGAGUAACACGUGGGUGAUCUGCCCUGCACUUCGGGAUAAGCCUGGGAAACUGGGUCUAAUACCGGAUAGGAGCCAUUUUUAGUGUGAUGGUUGGAAAGUUUUUUCGGUGUAGGAUGAGCUCGCGGCCUAUCAGCUUGUUGGUGGGGUAAUGGCCUACCAAGGCGGCGACGGGUAGCCGGCCUGAGAGGGUGGACGGCCACAUUGGGACUGAGAUACGGCCCAGACUCCUACGGGAGGCAGCAGUGGGGAAUAUUGCACAAUGGGCGCAAGCCUGAUGCAGCGACGCCGCGUGGGGGAUGACGGCCUUCGGGUUGUAAACUCCGUUCGCUAGGGACGAAGCUUUUUGUGACGGUACCUAGAUAAGAAGCACCGGCUAACUACG